GACGAACGCUGGCGGCGUGCUUAACACAUGCAAGUCGAACGGAAAGGCCCUGCUUGCAGGGUACUCGAGUGGCGAACGGGUGAGUAACACGUGGGUGAUCUGCCCUGCACUUCGGGAUAAGCCUGGGAAACUGGGUCUAAUACCGGAUAGGAGCCAUUUUUAGUGUGAUGGUUGGAAAGUUUUUUCGGUGUAGGAUGAGCUCGCGGGCUAUCAGCUUGUUGGUGGGGUAAUGGCCUACCAAGGCGGCGACGGGUAGCCGGCCUGAGAGGGUGGACGGCCACAAUGGGACGGGGAUACGGCCCAGGCUCCUACGGGGGGCAGGAGGGGGGAAUAUUGCACAAUGGGCGCAAGCCUGAUGCAGCGACGCCGCGUGGGGGAUGACGGCCUUCGGGUUGGAAACUCCUUUCGCUAGGGACGAAGCUUUUUGUGACGGUACCUAGAUAAGAAGCACCGGCUAACUACGUG
rnacentral:rRNA from 1 species